GCAAGUCGAGCGAGACGGUUAUGAUUGAUCCUUCGGGUGAUUGAAUAACUAGAAAGCGGCGGACGGGUGAGUAACGCGUGGGUAACCUGCCCUACACACAAGGAUAGCCAUUGGAAACGAUGAUUAAUACUUGAUAACACAUUAGAACCGCAUGGUUUUACUGUCAAAGAUUUAUCGGUGUAGGAUGGACCCGCGUCUGAUUAGCUAGUUGGUAAGGUAAUGGCUUACCAAGGCGACGAUCAGUAGCCGACCUGAGAGGGUGAUC
rnacentral:rRNA from 1 species